rnacentral:lncRNA from 1 species
AAAAAUCAAAAAAAAUUUCGAGUUGUAAUUUAAUUUUUUUUCCUUCCUUGUAUUUACCUUACUAUUGUAUUGGAGUAUCACAAAAAAAAAUCAAAAUUCAAAAAAAAUUCGAAAAAAAAAGAAAAAAAGAAGUGAGCAAAAAAAAAGAGUAAAAAGAAGAAGAAAAAAAAGAAGUGAAAAGUCUUGCGAGUUUUAUUUUCAUCUCUUAUUACUUCGAUCAUCAAGUUUCCCUUCCUACCAUUAUUUAUCCAUCCCAACG